GAUGAACGCUGGCGGCGUGCUUAACACAUGCAAGUCGAACGAUGAAGCCCAGAUUGUGGGGUGGAUUCGUGGCGAACGGGCGAGUAACACGCGCGUAACUUGCCCUUCUCUAUGGCUUAAGUAUGGGAGAGUGGCUCUAAUACAGGACAGGAGAGAUCACCGACUGCAGGGUGUUGUAAUGAUUUAUCGGUUUUGGAUGGCCUCUCGGCGUAUCCGCUUGUUGGUGAGGUAGUGGUUCACUAACGCGACGCCGGGGAGACGGCCUGGGAGGGUGACCGGACACACUGGGACUACGAGACGGCCCAGACUGCAACGGGCGGCAGCAGGGGGAAAUAUUGCGCAGUGGGCGAAAGCCAGAGACGGCGGCGCCGCGUGAGGGAUGACGGCCUACGAGUGAUGAACCACUGUCAAUAGAAAAGAAGCGAAAUUGACGGUACCUGCAGAGGAAGCACCGGCUAACUACGUG
rnacentral:rRNA from 1 species